rnacentral:rRNA from 1 species
GACGAACGCUGGCGGCGUGCUUAACACAUGCAAGUCGAACGAAGUGGCGAACGGGUGAGUAACGCGUAAUCAACCUGCCCUUCAGAGGGGGACAACAGUUGGAAACGACUGCUAAUACCGCAUACUGAAGGUGGGGUUUGAGUCUGAUUAGCUAGUUGGAGGGGUAACGGCCCACCAAGGCGAUGAUCAGUAGCCGGGCUGAGAGGAUGGACGGCCACAAUGGGACUUGGACACGGGCCCGACUCCUACGGGAGGCAGCAGGUGGGAAACUUCCGCAAUGGACGAAAGUCUGACGGAGCAACGCCGGGUGAGUGAUGACGGCCUUCGGGUUGUAAAGCUCUGUUAAGCGGGACGCGGUACCGGAAUAGAAAGCCACGGCUAACUACGUGCCAGCAGCCGCGGUAAUUC